GCCCGCUUGGCGGAAUCGGUAGACGCAAGGGACUUAAAAUCCCUCGACCUUUGGUUGUGCCGGUUCGACUCCGGCAGCGGGCACCA
rnacentral:tRNA from 2 species